UACGGAGGGUGCAAGCGUUAUCCGGAUUUACUGGGUUUAAAGGGUGCGUAGGUGGGUCUGUAAGUCAGUGGUGAAAUCUUCAAGCUUAACUUGGAAACUGCCAUUGAUACUAUAGGUCUUGAAUUAUCUGGAGGUAAGCGGAAUAUGUCAUGUAGCGGUGAAAUGCUUAGAUAUGACAUAGAACACCAAUUGCGAAGGCAGCUUACUACGGAUCGAUUGACACUGAGGCACGAAAAGCGUGGGGGAUCAAACAG
rnacentral:rRNA from 1 species